rnacentral:rRNA from 1 species
AAAUUGAAGAGUUUGAUCAUGGCUCAGAUUGAACGCUGGCGGCAGGCCUAACACAUGCAAGUCGAACGGUAACAGGAAUCAGCUUGCUGAUUUGCUGACGAGUGGCGGACGGGUGAGUAAUGUCUGGGAAACUGCCUGAUGGAGGGGGAUAACUACUGGAAACGGUAGCUAAUACCGCAUAACGUCGCGAGACCAAAGAGGGGGACCUUCGGGCCUCUUGCCAUCGGAUGUGCCCAGAUGGGAUUAGCUAGUAGGUGGGGUAAAGGCUCACCUAGGCGACGAUCCCUAGCUGGUCUGAGAGGAUGACCAGCCACACUGGAACUGAGACACGGUCCAGAC